GCGCCGGCGGCUCUGGCGGCUCUGGCGGCUCCUACGGCUCCCAAGGCUGGACACCUGGCCCACCCGCAGCUCCCGCGUCCGGUCUCUGACCGAACAAAACUUCUUCCACCACGUCGCCGCCCACUCCGGGCGCUGCCUGGGCCUCCUCCCUCCGCGUGGCGGAGCCGGCGUCGCCGCUGCCAGCACACUUGCGGGGCCUCGGAGGUGCUAGGGGCUGUGCCCUGCUGGACACCAGGACAGAGUCAUCUGCGGAAAAGAGCCUUGGCCUGGGAGUCUGGAGACCUGGCUUCCAGCCCUUGACCUCUGAGCCCUUGUUUGCUAGCGCUGACUCCAGGUGUGAUUCGAAGAGCGUCUUGGAUUGAAUCAGGCCACUGCCCUGGUCUGCAGGAAGAAUGAAGACAGAUAGAAGGCUUUCCAGGAACUGCAGUAGACAAGGAGCUUUCAGUUUGGCUUUGUGUAAAUCAAAAUCAUGAUGAGUCAACAUCAAGUUUAACCCUUAGAGUCCUGAUGACUUGGGUGCGAGACUACCAGUGGCCUUUCUUUCACUUUGGCCCGGGGUGGCUGGAGUUCUGCGCUGCCCUGUGUACCUAGGCCACUCCACUCAACUGUUUUGACCUUUGCCCUUCUCACUAAGUCUUCGUCCAUUUCUGUAACUGGAGGCUGAAAAGGGCAUAUGCAAGAAAAUGUCUGGCAGGAAAGAAUGAUGUCCCUCUUUCCAAAGUCAGGUGUCCUUCCAUCCAUUUAGAGACACCUUCCUGAGUCCAAAAGGGACACAGACACCAGCAUAUUCCAAGGGCUUAGCUAAAAGUGCUGGUCCCUUAGACAAAAAUCUCACAAAGAGUCCUCUAAGCAAAACCUCACACCACUGCAAAACAAAGAAAAAGGAGAAGUUGAAAACAGGGAAUUUCCCUCCCGAUUCUGGAUCAGUGGCCCCCAACCAGGGGCAAUUUUACAUCCCAGGGGACAUUCGGCAAUAUGGAGAGAUAUUUUUGGUUGUCAUGACUGAAGCGGGGGCAUGCUUCUGGAAUGCAGUGAGUAGAGGCUGGGGAUGCUGCUGUUAAUACAAUGCACACGACCGCCCCCACAACAAAGACUUACUCUACUCAAGAUGACAACAGCGCCAAAGGCAAGCUACAUGCACAAGCUGCAAUGAUGAAGCCCUUUUGGGGAAGAGAGUCAAUGUAAAGGGGCUUGGUGGCACAGCAGGGACAGGAUCAGGGAGGAGUGCCUUGUCUACUGAUCCCCACUCCACAAGCUGGCAAAGGUACACAUAGCCAACGCUGGGCACCACUCCUGGCUGGCCAUGGUGGAAUUAGAUCAGCUGGGAUCACCGGUUUUUGUGAAUGAGUUUAAAGGCCAUAGCGUUCACCAACUAGGAUACAGUUGAAUUCCUUAGCACCUUCAUGUAUGAAGGAUAGCUGGAUCCUCACUCUCCACUCUCAAGAAGUAGGGCCGGGCACGGUGGCUCAUGCCUGUAAUCCCAGCACUUUGGGAGGCCGAGGCGGGCGGAUCACCUAAGGUCAGAGUUCGAGACCAGCCUGGCCAACAUGGUGAAACCCUGCCUCUAUUAAAAAUACAAAAUUAGCCGGGCGUGGUGGCGCAUGCCUGUAAUCCAAGCUAUUCGGGAGGCUGAGACAGGAGAAUCGCUUGAACCCAGGAGGCGGAGGUUGCAGUGAGCCGAGAUCGCACCAUUGCACUCCAAUCUGGACAACAAGAGCAAAAC
rnacentral:lncRNA from 10 species